rnacentral:lncRNA from 1 species
AUGCUUCCCCAGAGCACUCCAGAGAUGCAAACUAUUCAGCCUCUUUCAUUGUUAUGUUGGAACAAAGCAGCAAUCCAGGUUAAAAAUUUACAAAGAGGUGCCUUCACCACCGUGAGUGCCUGGGAAUCUGUGCCGAAGGCUGGCCGGCUGCCUCCGCUGGCCGCCAUCCCAAGGUGGAAGGCGCACCUCUUGGGGCAAAGGUCGAGGCUGAGAAGCGCCCCUGGCCAAUGGCGGACGGCCUCUGGCCCCUCGGAGGAAGCCGAGGGGAGCCUCCCAGUGGUCCGGCAGGAGCGUCCGGUCUCUGCAAGAUGGACCGACAUCUGCAGGUGGGUCUCUCUGCUCAAAGGUCUCCCUCUGGAACCCUUUCCCCAGCUUAGAGGGGCUUCUAGGUGUCUCCUCGUAGGCAAGUGGCCAUGCACCUACCUCACAACAAAUGUGGCUGACGGAUGGGUGGGAUCCUGACAGGUAGGAGCAACUGUUUUCCAGUCGUUCACAGAACCCUCCAAUGACUGGAAGCUUUCUCUUCUGCUUUAACUCCUAGUGCUUGACCGACCUGCAGGACAAAACAGGAAAAAGGAUGAGGAUUCCUGCGUGACCCAGAAGCCUGCAUCCAGCAAAUCCCACCUGGUUUAAGGCCAGUGGUUGCCACCGAUUGUUUUCGGUGCCCUAAGGGAAGGAGAACUUCACCCUCUCCCUUCUCUCCCACUCCUCGGCCUUUCUCGGCAGUCCAGGGGCCGAUUUAAUGAAAACCCCAUAAUUAUCCAGCCUUCUCUUGUUCUGUCUGGGACAAUGGGUGACACUGAGCGCGGAUGCCGUCAGCCCCUGGGGGAGCUGAGCAGAUAAGAGGGAGCCAGUUGUGUGUGUGGGUGUGUAUGUAUGUAUUUCAGGCAGAUGGGGCAGGGAAGAGCAUCAGAGCUCCCUGUGUGUGUGUGCUCGCUCUCUGGAUGUUCAGUUUCCCUCAACCAACCCUUCAAAUCAUGCGAUGCAAAACGUGGAGAGUGAGCAGGUUUUUCCCUAGGUCUGAAAAGGGAACCAGUGGCCUGAUGUCACUGUGAAGGCGGCGGCGGCUGCGUCCAGCUAUUCAGCGCAGAGGGAAAGUUUGGCGUUUGGCGGCUCUUCACUCCUCCUGCCCUCAUUGACGCUGGUUUGCAUUUGUUUUUGCUAGUGGUUUGCGCAAGAAUUUAUUAGCCAUUACCUCUUCUCUAUUGCAAAUUGAUGAGGUUUCCAUUUCUCCCUCCAUAUGCAAAUGUAAUCUCCGUCUGGCUUGAAUAUUGAUGGACUGGCUGAAGAGGGGGUUAAUUCGGCUAAUCCCUGGGAGCCGAUCCCGGGGAUUAUUUGGUUUGGAGUCACCUUGGAAAGACCACCCACUUUCCCCCCGUCCCGUCCCGUCCCGUCCCUAGAUGUGGCUGGCAUGGCGAUGCCGAGAACACUGGAGCCUUUCUGCGUCGGCGGCGGCCUCCCU